rnacentral:rRNA from 1 species
UGGGGAAUAUUGCACAAUGGGGGAAACCCUGAUGCAGCGACGCCGCGUGAAGGAAGAAGUAUUUCGGUAUGUAAACUUCUAUCAGCAGGGAAGAAAAUGACGGUACCUGACUAAGAAGUCCCGGCUAACUACGAUCCAGCAACCGCGGUAAUACGUAGGGGUCAAGCGUUAUCCGGAUUUACUGGGUGUAAAGGGAGCGUAGACGGUGAUGCAAGUCUGGAGUGAAAGCCCGGGGCUCAACCCCGGGACUGCUUUGGAAACUGUGGGACUGGAGUGUCGGAGAGGCAGGCGGAAUUCCUAGUGUAGCGGUGAAAUGCGUAGAUAUUAGGAGGAACACCAGUGGCGAAGGCGGCCUGCUGGACGAUGACUGACGUUGAGGCUCGAAAGCGUGGGGAGCAAACAGG